CCUACGGGGUGCUGCAGUGAGGAAUAUUGGUCAAUGGACGAGAGUCUGAACCAGCCAAGUAGCGUGAAGGAUGACUGCCCUAUGGGUUGUAAACUUCUUUUAUAAAGGAAUAAAACGAGGCACGUGUGCCUUUUUGCAUGUACUUUAUGAAUAAGGAUCGGCUAACUCCGUGCCAGCAGCCGCGGUAAUACGGAGGAUCCGAGCGUUAUCCGGAUUUAUUGGGUUUAAGGGGAGCGUAGAUGGGUUGUUAAGUCAGUUGUGAAAGUUUGCGGCUCAACCGUAAAAUUGCAAUUGAUACUGGAAGUCUUGAGUACAGUUGAGGUAGGCGGAAUUCGUGGUGUAGCGGUGAAAUGCUUAGAUAUCACGAAGAACCCCGAUUGCGAAGGCAGCUUACUAAACUGUGACUGACAUUGAUGCUCGAAAGUGUGGGUAUCAAACAGGAUUAGAUACCCUAGUAGUC
rnacentral:rRNA from 1 species